GAUUUCAACUGAAAAAGACAUCAACAACAAAGUUGUAUAACUUACCAAUGUCUAUAACUUUUAUUUAGGUCAUUUCUUCAUUCGGAAAAGUGAUAAUAACAUUGUUCACAAAAUUUACAUAUCUCUCUUAUAGUUUAUAAACUAUAUAAGAGAUAUUUACAUUUUGUGAGCAAUGUUACAAACUGUUUUGUCGGAUAAAGAAAUGACCCAAAUAAAAGUUAUAGAUCUUGAUGAGUUAUACAACUUUCAUGUUGAUGACUUUUUCAGUUGAAAUC
rnacentral:pre_miRNA from 2 species